AGAUCCCGUCCCUGCCUUUCCUCAGAGGAUCACAGCCGUCAGCAGCAGCUGUGCAGGCUUCGUGUGAGCGCACAUCUUCCCCCGCUGACCUUGGUGACACUGUUGGAUAAAAUGUCCUGUUGGGACCCCACUCACCGGGUGGACCUCCGGGCGACUUCCUUAGGGCUGUCCUGACGGGGAGGACAUCCUCUGUGGGAGGCUGUGGGCCCCCGGUGCCAGCCCCCCCUGUCCAGGCCUGAUCUUCACCCCUUCAGCUCUGGGAGCCCCCCGUUAUAUCCUCUGGAUUUGGGUCAGGAUCCCAGUCGGUCCACGCAGCCAGAGGCUGACGGAGCUGCUUUCACAGAGGUGGGGGGGCGGGCAGGGAAGGUAAAGGGAGCAGGGAGGACAGGGGGACCCCUCUGCCAAUUUCCUGCUCACCCUCAUUCUCUGGUGAGUGGGGCCGACCCUCCUGGGCAGAGGGCACCAGGUGGCACAGAAUCGCCACCCCAGGGUGAGGUCAUACCUUCCCCCGCUGACCUUGAUUUCUCUCUCCCAUCUGUCACUGUGUCUUGUUCCUCUAAAUGGAAAUAAGUUCUGAAUCGAUCUGCCCUCCCCCCCCCCUCGCAUCUCUCCUUGGACACUGUAGGAGGUCCCCCAGCUCUCAAGUCCUCUCCCACAUCAUGUCCCCAACCCGCUCCUAGGAAGUCAAGAGCUCUUCUAAGAACCUGUGUCAAGUCACGCCCUGCUCCUCCUGAGAUCCCCAGAGGGCCUGCACGCUGUGGAAACAGAGCCCAAGGUCAUCCGUGUACCCAGCUGCCUCUGCUCUGGCCUCCCCUGGACAGUCCCAGGUCACCUCCGGGAAACCUGGUACCAGUUGCUGCUUCCUGCUCAUCAGAUUUUAAACUCCAGUCUGCUCCCCACCCCCCCAGCUGCCUGUCCAAAGGCACCCCGAGUCUCCGGAUAAUACCACUCCAUUUGAGUGACCUGCAUUCAGUGAUCACCUUCCUGCACUAGAGCAGCCCCCGACUCACUGAGGGCCCCAGAAGACACCGUGACUUGUGCAAGACUCACCGCAGACACACUCGCACGGCCUUGGCACCUAUGCAAAGGUUUGUUCCUUGACUCCAGGGCUGGGA